UUUCUCUUGAUGGCAGAAGGUGGAGAUAGAGAAGCAAUAAAGUUUGUCUUUUCACGACCGUUAUUCUCUCCUUACGUCACCUGCCUUCGCUCCAAAAUUCGUCCUGUGACCUACCCUAAAUACACCACUCUAAAUCUGGGGCUGCAUUACAAUCUUUACUAGUGUCAAACACAUCCCCAUUUCUAACGAGCUUGAUGACUCAAAGGUCUGAAUCUGUACCCAGCCAAGAUUGGCCAAAUGCAUUAUUUUGGGUGGGGUUCUCUGACUCACGCUUUGCUCUUUUAUAACUCGCUAAGCAUUCAGCACAUUGAUUACAGGGUUACUGCUUUGAAAAUACCCAGGAUUUCUAAGGAGUUGGUUGUUCUAAUGUCUAGACAAUAGCUACAGCACAUGGACAGGGCUGAGACCAAUUUGGGAGACAGGAGGCUUGGUCCUUCAAGUCUACUGAAGAAAGAUUAUAAGGCAGAUGGAGAAAGGAAUGAGGGCAUCAAUUUCAGAAGGCUGUUGUAAAGAUCAAAAAAGAGAAAACGACGCAAACUCCUUACUCAGCCUCCUGCCCAUCACGUGGGAAACGCACAGCAAACAGUAGCUAUUGUUGUUACUUUGCAAUUUGCUCAGAACAGUCUCCAGUUCCCUGAUGCCCGAGGCUGACUAAGAUGCUUAUAACGAGGAUGAAAAUUUCCCUAUUGCUUCAUCAAGGAAGCAUUCUACUGGGAAACGAGCAAAGCUGGAUGAGCUGCGGAACAGAUCCGCGUGUGCUCCCCGCUGCCAGUCUAACCAGCUGACCCGAACCCCCAUCACAGAACCGCACAAACAAGCCAGAAAGCCAAACCCUCCCAGGCGCAGAGCCCUAAGAUGUGAAAGAGGCCCGGCUCCGGCUGCCUCGUUCCCCAGGGCUCAGCUUCCACGCAGCACUCGGAGGAUAACCACGCUGUACCCCCAGCUCUCCAAGUCCACGGGCACAUCUGAGUGUGAGUUAAGGAAUGCUUGUAAAGCGCUCUGAGCUUCUCAAAGGAAAGAAACAGGAAGUCUAUACAUCAUUUCUGCGAGCCUGUUAAUCAGUGUCCAAGUCUCCCUCUUCAAAGCCGCUCACCACCAGGGCUCUGUAGUCAGAGCUCAGUAUUCCCAAGAAUUUGGUUACCAUGGGAACCAAGGAAGGACACACAUGCCCUGGAUUCCAGAAAUACAAAAGGAACUGUCUAUGUCAUGAAGAACCUAGGGGUAAGACAGGAAUAAAGACACAGACCUACUAGAGAAUGGACUUGAGGAUAUGGGUA